rnacentral:lncRNA from 1 species
GAAAUCAGUCCACGAAUAAUCAGAAUAAAACUCCAGGGGGUAUCCCACAAAUAAAGUGGGAAACCACGCGAGUGUCUCUGCGAAAGCCAUGUGAGCCCUCACAAAACUCGACAAAGGGUUAGAGUAGUAGGAUGAAAUCAAGAGAAACAAUGCCAUGGAAACACAAGACAGGUUAGAAUAAACAAAAUAUAGGGUAACUCAGAGUUGCCCCUAAAUCAAAAUGUAACCACAUGAAUAAUUCCAUCAAAAUUCA